rnacentral:piRNA from 1 species
CCUGGUGUUAGUUGGGAAAACCGAGGGC